GAUGAACGCUGGCGGCGUGCUUAACACAUGCAAGUCGAACGGUGAAGGCGGAGCUUGCUCUGCUGGAUCAGUGGCGAACGGGUGAGUAACACGUGAGCAAUCUGCCCCUGACUCUGGGAUAAGCGCUGGAAACGGCGUCUAAUACUGGAUACGAGCUGCGAAGGCAUCUUCAGCAGCUGGAAAGAAUUUCGGUCAGGGAUGAGCUCGCGGCCUACCAGCUUGUUGGUGAGGUAAUGGCUCACCAAGGCGUCGACGGGUAGCCGGCCUGAGAGGGUGACCGGCCACACUGGGACUGAGACACGGCCCAGACUCCUACGGGAGGCAGCAGUGGGGAAUAUUGCACAAUGGGCGAAAGCCUGAUGCAGCAACGCCGCGUGAGGGACGACGGCCUUCGGGUUGUAAACCUCUUUUAGCAGGGAAGAAGCGAAAGUGACGGUACCUGCAGAAAAAGCGCCGGCUAACUACGUG
rnacentral:rRNA from 1 species